rnacentral:lncRNA from 1 species
UUAUAAAGAGUUAUAUGGUUUGAGUUUAUCAAAGUGCGAAUGUUUUUUUUUAAAGUGCGAAUGUUGUAAACGUCCACACCACCAUACGAUAUUCAAUUAUUUUGAAGUUUGAUGGAAAAAAAAAAAUAGAAAAAACAAGGACAACGUUUACUAUAAAUAACCCUAGCUAGUCAUAGUAGUUCUUCGUCUUUCCCUAUCACAGUUAAAAGGAAAUUAUCAUCCAACUCUCUUUUCUCUCUCAAGAAAAAUCAGAAACACACAAUGGCGACUUCGCAAGACUCAAACCCACAAAUCCCAGAAGAUGCUGAAGUCACGGCACCAACCCUAUCAUCACUAACACACGUCCCGACAAAUCUUGAAGAAAAGGCUGUUCCAGUCCCGUCGCCGAAGAUGGACAUGUUAUCGGAGACACCAAAGAAUCCUGGCGAUCGUCAAAUCUCACCGUCAGCCGAGACCCAGGAGUCGCUGAAGAUGAUGGAAGACGUGACUCGCAAGUCGUCUGAAAUUCACGGAAUGCUGCCGUCUGUGGACUCGUGGGGUAUGAUAGAGAAGACUGGUGAUACAGACUCGCAGUCGCAAGGAUCCAGCAACAAACUUCCAGUCUCAACCUUUCCAAGGCUCGUCUUGAAGAGAAUUCCAAACCCGUUGGUUCCAGUUAUCCAUGACGCUGAAGCUGAACAGCCACCCAAUGACCCAACGGAAAGGGCUCUGAACUCUAAGUUUAUAUGUGCUUGAGAAAUAUAAGAACAACCUUUCUUAUUGAUUUAGAAAACUACUCAAAAACUAAAUCUCUCUCAAGUCUUGUGAAACAUCUCUUCACAAGCUUAGUAUUUAUAGAACCAAGACAACACCUUAAUCCUAAUUAGAUUAGGAAAACAACACAAAGCCUUAUCUAAAUAACUUGCCCUUAUCUAGAUCAUGUUUGUGAAUCCCUUGACUUGCUCCCCAAGUCACUUGGAAUUAUCCAAUAUUCACCCCCGUAAUUCCAACACGAACUCCGGGACGCUUGAUCUCUUCAACUCCAAUUAGACUCCUCAUUUCCUUGAACUUGUAUCUCCCUAAAGGCUUGGUUAGUAUGUCCGCCUUCUGCUCUUCACCCGGUACAUGAUCCACUUCGAUUUGAUCAUUCUCCACACACUCACGAAUAAAAUGAUACUUUGCAAGUAUGUGCUUUGUCCUCCCAUGAAACACCGGAUUCUUUGUAAGCGCUAUGGCUGCUUUGUUGUCGAUCAAAAGCAUGACCUUCUCGCCUUCUAUGCUUAAUAUCUCUCCCAACAACUCCUUAAGCCAUAUAGCUUGCUUUGCUGCUUCUGUAGCGGCAAUAAACUCAGCCUCACACGAUGACAACGCCACGGUGGGCUGUUUUUGCGACGUCCAAGUGAUCGGUGAUGAACCGUAAUAGAACACAUGCCCCGAAGUACUUCUACCAUUGUCAAUGUCGAUAUUGUGACUACUAUCACUAUAUCCAAUGACUUUGCGUGACCCAUCUCUCUUGAAAAAUAAGCCAAAGUUAGUAGUUCCUUUUAAGUACCUUAAAACAUGCUUGAUAGCUUGUCCAUGAGACUCUCUCGGACUUUGCAUAUAACGACUUAGAACUUCAACUGCAAAUGACAAAUCCGGUCUUGUAUGAAUAAGAUAUCUUAGACACCCUAUGGUUCUCCUAUACUUCGUGGCAUCAACCUCCUUCUCAUGUUCUGCCUUUGACAAAUUUAAACCCGACUCCAUUGGUGCAUGAGUCAAGUUACACGCUUCCAUCUUAGCAUCAACUAGAAUUCCUUGAGCGUAUGCUUCUUGUUUGAUUCUAAUUCCAUCUGCUCCUUGAAUCACUUCUAUGCCGAGAUAGUACGUUAGCUUUCCAAGAUCCGACAUCUCAAACUUUGUCGACAUAUCAUUUUUGAAUCGUUUCAUGACCUUAAGAGAAGUACCGGUCACAAACAAAUCAUCAACGUAGAUAGCCACAAUCAAGAUGUCCUUAUCUUCAUUCUUACGAUAUACCGAGGGUUCCUUUAAGCACUUCUUAAAGUUCAUCUCCUUUAGGACUUGAUCAAGCUUAAUAUUCCAAGCUCUAGGAGCUUGACGUAGACCAUACAACUCCUUGUAAAGCCUAUAAACUCGAUCCUCUUUUCCUUUCUUCUUAAAACCUUCCGGUUGUAUUACGUAAACUAACUCCUUUAGUUCACCGUUUAAGAAAGCAGUCUUCACGUCUAGGUGAUGUAUUUCCCAACCUCUUGUUGCUGCAAGGGCUAUGAGAAGGCGUAUAGUUUCUAGUCGUGCUACCGGAGCAAACACUUCUUCGAAAUCUAUGCCUUGUUGCUGUACAUAGCCUUUUGCCACAAGUCUGGCCUUAUACUUGCUCACCGAUCCGUCCGCUUUCCUUUUAACCUUGUAAACCCAUCUUACUCCUAUAGGUUUAACGCCUUCUGGUUUGUUGACAAGCUCCCACGUCUUGUUCUUUUCAAUAGAAUCAAUCUCAGCCUUCAUUGCAUUAACCCACUCUUUAAUGUUUUCAGCUUCAAGAAAGUUCUCGGGUUCACCGUCUAUGGUAAGAAACAAUCUUCCACUUUCUUGUUCUGCAAGUAAAACAUAAUCGUUAAGAUAAUUUGGCUUAAUUAUCACACGACCUGAUCUUGUCACCAAAGGUUGAUUCCCAGCUUGUUGAUUCACGUCAUUAUUUUCUUCAUUUUGUAUGUUUUCUUUUUCCUCCUCCUCAUCUUGGUUGUCUUGGUUUAUAGCUUCUUGAUCUGGUUCUUGUUGGACAUUUUCGUGAUCACCCUCAUGAUCUUCUCCAUCUUCUAUAACACCAUCUUGAGGAAGCUUAAACAUACCCGGUUCUCCAUCGGAUUCCUUUGUGAUAGAUGACCAGUCCCAAGCUUUCUUCUCGUCAAAGACCACAUCUCUACUAACGAUUACCUUCUUUGUAACCGGAUCAUAGAGUCUAUAAGCUUUGGAACCCGGUUCUGUUCCAAGAUUGAUCACUUUCUUUGAUCUAUCAUCAAGCUUCUUGAUAUGAGGCCCAUUGAUCUUUGCAUAAGCAACACAUCCAAAAACCCUCAAAUGUUCGAUGUGAGGUUUCCGGCAUGUGAAGCUCUCGUAAGGAGUUUGACCAUUUAAAGCUUUUGUGGGCACACAGUUGAUGAGAUAGGUUGAAUGACGUACAGCUUCUCCCCACAUAUCAUUCGGAACCUUCAUCGCCUUCAUCAAGCUUCUUGUCAUCUCCAUCAAGGUACAGUUUCUUCUUUCAACCACACCAUUUUGCUGUGGCGUGUAUGGUGCGGUUAAGUGACGUUUGACUCCAUUCUCUUCACAAAACCGAUUGAACUCAGCCGAGGUAAACUCUCCCCCCCUAUCGGUUCGAAACGUCUUGAUGGCCAAACCGGUUUGUUUUUCAACAACACCUUUAAAACGCUUAAAUCGAUCAAACGCUUCACUCUUUUCUCGUAGUAACAUCGUCCACAUGUACCUAGAGAAAUCAUCAAUCAAGACAAAAACAUAACGAUUGUUAGCUGGUGUUGGUGGUGAAAUCGGACCACACAAAUCUCCAUGGAUCAACUCCAAUGCUUGUGAUGCACGAAAACUGGUUUUAGUCGGGAAAGAGCUUCUUGUUUGUUUCCCGGCUAAGCACACCUCGCAUACAUCCUUCUCAUGUAUCACUUUCGGCAUUCCCACAACCAUCUCCUUUUGUACCAUGUUAUUCAUAACACCAAAGCUCACAUGUCCCAGCCGAGCAUGCCAUCUCCAUGUAGUUUCAUCACCAUCGAGUUGUAAACACAUAGGAGAAUUACUAAUUUCCAUGGGUGUUUUAUAGAGACGAUUUGGUGAUCUUGUGAUUCUUACAAGCAGCCUUCCACACGGGUCUUUUAAUGUCAAGAAGUCUCCUCGCAUGAGAACUUCACACCCGGCUUCAGUUGCUUGUCCAAGACUCAAUAUGUUGUGUUUUAGGCUGGGAAUAUAGUAAAUUUCUUUGAGUGCUCUCACCUCCCCUGUCUUGCACACAAAGUUAAUUGUACCCUUCCCAACAAUGUCAACAUAAGAGCCAUCACCAAAUCUUACUUUCCCUUUAACUCUCUCAUCUAAACUACAAAAGUAGCUCUUGUUCCCCGACAUGUGGUUACUUGCUCCGUUAUCCAAAUACCAAACACUUGCAUCGCCUUUGUUGAUAUCAAAAUUCUUUGGAAUCACUUUGUCUUCGUUUAAGAACACCACCUCAUGAACGUAGAGAGCAUCGGCCUCAUGUGUCUCGUUUAAGUUGGCUUGUUGAUGUUGCGUUUGUUUGUUGGGACAAUUGUUUGCAUAAUGUCCCGGUUUAUCACAUCUCCAACAAAUUAUUUUGGAUAGAUCUUUCUUAGGUUUUGGAUUCUCCGUGGUUUCUUCUCCUUGGUUUUGGUUUUGGCCAUUAGAUCUCCCUCGACCACUGCCUCUACCGCCUCUUCCACCUCUUCCUCUACCUCUAGAUCCUCCGCGAGACCCACCAUGGCCUCCACGAUUGUUAGAUGUGUUUGUAAACAUCAGUUUACCUUGAUCGUCACUACUUCUGGUCGCCUUUGUAACUCGAUCUUCAUAAGCUUUGAUUCUUCCCACGAUAUCUUCAAAGCUUGUUGUGUUUAAGUCAAGAACUUGCUCAAGGGAAGCGACAAUGUGAAUGAACCUCUCCGGAAGUCCUGCUAAAAACUGUUUCACUAGCUUUACUUCAUCAAGGGUUUCUCCUAGUGAAGCGGAUUGAGCUGCAAGGCCUGACAUCUUCCCUGCAAACUCGUCUACCGAUUCAGCAUCUCCCAUGUGAAGUCGAUCGAGUUCUGCCUUGAGAGUCUGGAGCCUUGCGUCUUUCACACGGUCUGCUCCUUGGUGACGAGACUUAACAGCUUCCCACAUGUUCUUUGCCGAGUUUUGAUCUCCAAUAUGUAAGAUCAAAGUCUCAGGAAUUGAUUGAAACAAUAGAGCGGUUGCCACAUCGUUCUUCUUAACGUCCUCAGAACCGGGUUCUAUUGUUUCCCAUACUUCGCUGACUCGAAGUAACACCUUCAUCCUCAUUGCCCAAACCGUGUAGUUCGUUGCCGUUAACAUUGGACAAUGAAUUGAUGGUGAGCUAAGGUCCUUGGUGCGAGGUUGCGGAUUGUUGUCUCUCAUCUUGGUGACAAAGCUUUGUGAUCAAGUCUCCUUCUUGAUCAAAAGAGAACCUUGCUCUAAUACCAAAUCUAAGUUUAUAUGUGCUUGAGAAAUAUAAGAACAACCUUUCUUAUUGAUUUAGAAAACUACUCAAAAACUAAAUCUCUCUCAAGUCUUGUGAAACAUCUCUUCACAAGCUUAGUAUUUAUAGAACCAAGACAACACCUUAGUCCUAAUUAGAUUAGGAAAACAACACAAAGCCUUAUCUAAAUAACUUGCCCUUAUCUAGAUCAUGUUUGUGAAUCCCUUGACUUGCUCCCCAAGUCACUUGGAAUUAUCCAACAUGAACUUGGCAGUUCGAGCUCAUGAGUUUCUCCGAUGGGCUAUCAGUAGCACGAUACUCUUCGUGCCCAUACAAUAAAUACCUCAUCGAAUCCCAGAAGGAUCAGAAAAAACCAACAGGUGGUGGUUUCUCUCCACACCAACUUCUUUCCAUCAUCAAAACAAG